GUGGGGAUGAGUGGCGAACGGGUGAGUAACACGUGGGUAAUCUGCCCUGCACUCUGGGAUAAGCCUUGGAAACGAGGUCUAAUACCGGAUAUCACAAUCUCUCGCAUGGGGGGUUGUUGAAAGUUCUGGCGGUGCAGGAUGAACCCGCGGCCUAUCAGCUUGUUGGUGGGGUAGUGGCCUACCAAGGCGACGACGGGUAGCCGGCCUGAGAGGGUGACCGGCCACACUGGGACUGAGACACGGCCCAGACUCCUACGGGAGGCAGCAGUGGGGAAUAUUGCACAAUGGGCGAAAGCCUGAUGCAGCGACGCCGCGUGAGGGAUGACGGCCUUCGGGUUGUAAACCUCUUUCGCCAGGGACGAAGCGCAAGUGACGGUACCUGGAUAAGAAGCACCGGCUAACUACGUGCCAGCAGCCGCGGUAAUACGUAGGGUGCGAGCGUUGUCCGGAUUUAUUGGGCGUAAAGAGCUCGUAGGCGGUUUGUCGCGUCGGCCGUGAAAUCUCCACGCUUAACGUGGAGCGUGCGGUCGAUACGGGCAGACUUGAGUUCGGUAGGGGAGACUGGAAUUCCUGGUGUAGCGGUGAAAUGCGCAGAUAUCAGGAGGAACACCGGUGGCGAAGGCGGGUCUCUGGGCCGAUACUGACGCUGAGGAGCGAAAGCGUGGGGAGCGAACAGGAUUAGAUACCCUGGUAGUCCACGCUGUAAACGUUGGGCGCUAGGUGUGGGCGACAUCCACGUUGUCCGUGCCGU
rnacentral:rRNA from 1 species